ACCCCUUAAAGACCAUGAGGUUGAUAGGUGAGAGGUGGAAGCGUGGUAACACGUGCAGCUGACUCAUACUAAUCGGUCGAAGUCUUGACCAA
rnacentral:rRNA from 1 species